UUAGAUGACUUGAGUGAAGAAGAGCUGGAGAACCUAAUUGUGGAUGACAAACACUGCUUCAUUCCCAAGGUGGCAUGUACCAACUGGAAGAGGGUAAUGUUUGCCCUGAACCAGACCAAGCCAUAUCCUGACACCCAUGACAUCGACAAGCUCAUUUACCUAAACACUUUCCCAAGAGCAGAGAUUGAGGCAAAGCUGAAAAACUACACCAAGUUCCUGUUUGUCCGGGACCCAUUCACCCGACUCAUCUCCACCUACAAAGACAAGUUCCUGCAGUGGCACGAUGAGUACUUCUAUCAAAACUUUUC